GCCGGGAUGGCGGAACGGGUAGACGCAGGGGACUUAAAAUCCCCUGGCCGACAGGCCGUGUGGGUUCGAGUCCCACUCCCGGUACCA
rnacentral:tRNA from 1 species